GAUAAGUUAGCAUAUUUGUGUAGUGAAUUUAGAACUCAAAGAAAAGGUUAUUUCCUUACUUAUCA
rnacentral:tRNA from 1 species